rnacentral:lncRNA from 1 species
UCGGAUCUGCUACAGGCACUGAAUUCGCCACUGGAGAACCCCAGCUAAGACCAAUGAAUCCGAUUGCACCCAUAGAUUAGUAAAACCCCCGUGGACACACGUUUGAAGACCAAUCAGAAGGGCCAAAGUCUCUGCACGAAGUCAAGUAGUUAUUCCAAAGAAGGCCAAAAACGCAACCAGGGGUAGCCUCGUUGAGUCCCGAAGAACCCCACCCCCUCCGCCCACUUCCGGAUUAUCCUUAGAGCAUCCAUCCAUAUUCAGUAUUAAUCUUCCCAUCUCCUUCGCCUCCCAGCGUACAAAUUUGAAGCUUACACUGGCAAGCGAAUUUGACCAAUCAUAUAGCUGACAGAAUGUUUGCACCCCAAUCCUUUGUUUAAACUGAAUCUCCACAAUGGAUUUAGUUUCCGAGAAGAUGGUUUGACAAAUGGCAGAAGACCGCAUCUGUUCACCCUCAAACAUUGCUUUAUUUCUAGCCUUCCAAAUAUGCCAACAGGUAAAACUUGGCAGAAUAAGGCAAAUAAAGCGUCGCGUCUUCGACUCGUGUGAUC